UGACGGUACUUUACCAGAAAGUCACGGCUUACUACGUGCCAGCAGCCGCGGUAAUACGUAGGUGGCAAGCGUUAUCCGGAAUUAUUGGGCGUAAAGGGUGCGCAGGCGGUCUAUUAAGUUUAGGGUGAAAGCGUUGAGCUCAACUCAAUAUAGCCUUAAAAACUGAUAGACUAGAGUGCAGAAGAGGGUAGUGGAAUUCCAUGUGUAGCGGUAAAAUGCGUAGAUAUAUGGAGGAACACCAGUGGCGAAGGCGGCUACCUGGUCUGUAACUGACGCUCAGGCACGAAAGCGUGGGGAGCAAAUAGGAUUAGAUACCCUAGUAGUCCACGCCCUAAACGAUGAGAACUAAGUGUUGGAGUAUUUCAGUGCUGCAGUUAACGCAAUAAGUUCUCCGCCUGAGGAGUAUGCACGCAAGUGUGAAACUUAAAGGAAUUGACGGGGGCCCGCACAAGCGGUGGAGUAUGCGGUUUAAUUCGAUGCAACGCGAAGAACCUUACCAGGCCUUGACAUCCCUUGCAAAGCUAUAGAGAUAUAGUGGAGGUUACCAAGGUGACAGGUGGUGCAUGGUUGUCGUCAGCUCGUGUCGUGAGAUGUUGGGUUAAGUCCCGCAACGAGCGCAACCCUUGUCUUUAGUUACCAUCAUUAAGUUGGGGACUCUAAAGAGACUGCCGGUGAUAAACCGGAGGAAGGUGGGGAUGACGUCAAAUCAUCAUGCCCCUUAUGGCCUGGGCUACACGCGUACUACAAUGGCGUAUACAACAAGAUGCAAGAUAGUGAUAUGGAGCUAAACUUCUAAAAUACGUCUCAGUUCGGAUCGAAGUCUGCAAUUCGACUUCGUGAAGUUGGAAUCGCUAGUAAUCGCGAAUCAGCAUGUCGCGGUGAAUACGUUCUCGGGCCUUGUACACACCGCCCGUCAAACCAUGAGAGUUAGUAAUACCCGAAGCCGGUGGCCUAACGCAAUAGCGAGGGAGCUGUC
rnacentral:rRNA from 1 species